AGGGUUCGAUUCUGGCUCAGGAUGAACGCUGGCGGCGUGCUUAACACAUGCAAGUCGAACGGGAUCCAUCAGGCUUUGCUUGGUGGUGAGAGUGGCGAACGGGUGAGUAAUGCGUGACCGACCUGCCCCAUGCACCGGAAUAGCUCCUGGAAACGGGUGGUAAUGCCGGAUGCUCCAUCACAUCGCAUGGUGUGUUGGGAAAGCCUUUGCGGCAUGGGAUGGGGUCGCGUCCUAUCAGCUUGAUGGCGGGGUAACGGCCCACCAUGGCUUCGACGGGUAGCCGGCCUGAGAGGGCGACCGGCCACAUUGGGACUGAGAUACGGCCCAGACUCCUACGGGAGGCAGCAGUGGGGAAUAUUGCACAAUGGGCGCAAGCCUGAUGCAGCGACGCCGCGUGAGGGAUGGAGGCCUUCGGGUUGUAAACCUCUUUUGUUAGGGAGCAAGGCACUUUGUGUUGAGUGUACCUUUCGAAUAAGCACCGGCUAACUACGUGCCAGCAGCCGCGGUAAUACGUAGGGUGCAAGCGUUAUCCGGAAUUAUUGGGCGUAAAGGGCUCGUAGGCGGUUCGUCGCGUCCGGUGUGAAAGUCCAUCGCUUAACGGUGGAUCCGCGCCGGGUACGGGCGGGCUUGAGUGCGGUAGGGGAGACUGGAAUUCCCGGUGUAACGGUGGAAUGUGUAGAUAUCGGGAAGAACACCAAUGGCGAAGGCAGGUCUCUGGGCCGUUACUGACGCUGAGGAGCGAAAGCGUGGGGAGCGAACAGGAUUAGAUACCCUGGUAGUCCACGCCGUAAACGGUGGAUGCUGGAUGUGGGGCCCGUUCCACGGGUUCCGUGUCGGAGCUAACGCGUUAAGCAUCCCGCCUGGGGAGUACGGCCGCAAGGCUA
rnacentral:rRNA from 1 species